UACAGAGGUCCCAAGCGUUGUUCGGAUUCACUGGGCGUAAAGGGUGCGUAGGCGGUCGGGUAAGUCUGACGUGAAAUCUCCAAGCUCAACUUGGAAAUGGCGUCGGAUACUAUUCGGCUUGAGGAGUGGAGGGGAGACUGGAAUUCUCGGUGUAGCAGUGAAAUGCGUAGAUAUCGAGAGGAACACCAGUGGCGAAGGCGAGUCUCUGGACACUUCCUGACGCUGAGGCACGAAGCCAGGGGAGCAAACGGG
rnacentral:rRNA from 1 species